AGUGAACGCUGGCGGUAGGCCUAACACAUGCAAGUCGAACGGCAGCACAGGAGAGCUUGCUCUCUGGGUGGCGAGUGGCGGACGGGUGAGGAAUACAUCGGAAUCUACUCUGUCGUGGGGGAUAACGUAGGGAAACUUACGCUAAUACCGCAUACGACCUACGGGUGAAAGCAGGGGACCUUCGGGCCUUGCGCGAUUGAAUGAGCCGAUGUCGGAUUAGCUAGUUGGCGGGGUAAAGGCCCACCAAGGCGACGAUCCGUAGCUGGUCUGAGAGGAUGAUCAGCCACACUGGAAAAGAGACACGGUCCAGACUCCUACGGGAGGCAGCAGUGGGGAAUAUUGGACAAUGGGCGCAAGCCUGAUCCAGCCAUACCGCGUGGGUGAAGAAGGCCUUCGGGUUGUAAAGCCCUUUUGUUGGGAAAGAAAUCCAGCUGGCUAAUACCCGGUUGGGAUGACGGUACCCAAAGAAUAAGCACCGGCUAACUUCGUGCCAGCCGCCACAGUAA
rnacentral:rRNA from 1 species